GACAGAGGGGGCAAGCGUUGCUCGGAAUUACUGGGCGUAAAGCGUGCGCAGGCGGUUUUGUAAGUCUGUCGUGAAAGCCCCGGGCUCAACCUGGGAAUUGCGAUGGAGACUGCAAGGCUUGAAUCUGGCAGAGGGGGGUAGAAUUCCACGUGUAGCAGUGAAAUGCGUAGAGAUGUGGAGGAACACCGAUGGCGAAGGCAGCCCCCUGGGUCAAGAUUGACGCUCAUGCACGAAAGCGUGGGGAGCAAACAGG
rnacentral:rRNA from 1 species